AACAGAAUGAUGAAAACCCAUGGAUAAUUUGUUUCUGCUGAGGUGUUCAUGCGGAAAAUAACAUGUUGCCUUCCUUCUGACUGUU
rnacentral:snoRNA from 1 species